GAGCGACUGUGAAGAAUGCAAAGCCAGUGCCAAACUUCGGAACCGAUAGCCCGGGCGGCGUGUUGGCACAGCGAGGAUAAUGAACGAGAGACCCGAUAGACAGCGAUGACAGCUGUUCACGGCACCGACACAGAGGACAGAUUGCAGUGCAAGAUAGGAGCGGUCUUCCUGCAAGCCCAGACAAGCCAUAUUGAGUGGUUUCAAAUACAGCAACUGUACCACUACGACAGUGCAGCACAAGAGACCCUAUCGUCAGUGCUGAGUCAGAAAUUAAAUAGAAAAGCGCUUUCUUCUGAAA
rnacentral:lncRNA from 1 species